rnacentral:rRNA from 1 species
UACGUAGGGGGCUAGCGUUGUCCGGAAUCAUUGGGCGUAAAGAGCGUGUAGGCGGUCCGGUAAGUCCGUUGUGAAAGUCCAGGGCUCAACCCUGGGAUGCCGGUGGAUACUGUCGGGCUCGAGUCCGGAAGAGGAGUGUGGAAUUCCUGGUGUAGCGGUGAAAUGCGCAGAUAUCAGGAGGAACACCAAUGGCGAAGGCAGCACUCUGGGACGUGACUGACGCUGAGACGCGAAAGCGUGGGGAGCAAACAGG